GGGGCUGUAGCUCAGUUGUAGAGCGCUUGCUUCACAGGUAUGAGGCUCUGGGUUCGAUCCUCAGCACCACA
rnacentral:tRNA from 1 species